AGGACGAACGCUGGCGGCGUGCCUAAUACAUGCAAGUCGAACGGUCUUUCUAUGGAAGCUUGCUUCCACUGAGAAGAUAGUGGCGAACGGGUGAGUAACACGUGGGUAACCUGCCCAUAAGAGGGGGAUAACAUCCGGAAACGGGUGCUAAUACCGCAUAGUUUUCUUGAUCGCAUGAUUGAGAAAGGAAAGAUGGCCUUUGUGCUGUCGCUUAUGGAUGGACCCGCGGCGUAUUAGUUAGUUGGUGAGGUAACGGCUCACCAAGACGAUGAUACGUAGCCGACCUGAGAGGGUGAUCGGCCACAUUGGGACUGAGACACGGCCCAAACUCCUACGGGAGGCAGCAGUAGGGAAUCUUCCGCAAUGGACGAAAGUCUGACGGAGCAACGCCGCGUGAGUGAAGAAAGGUUUUCGGAUCGUAAAACUCUGUUGUCAGAGAAGAACAAGUUGGAGAGUAACUGCUCCAGCCUUGACGGUAUCUGACCAGAAAGCCACGGCUAACUACGUGCCAGCCGCCGC
rnacentral:rRNA from 1 species